rfam:Zea mays cultivar B73 chromosome 5, whole genome shotgun sequence.
AUAUCUUUCUCGGUCUUUUGGUUAAGAUAAAGUGUAGUACAUGUUCCUAUCUAAUUAUUAUCUGGUGUGUGGGUCAUAUGUUCACUUUAAUAUUAAAACUAUUUUUACGAAGAGAGUUCACCACAUUGGCUUGCUACUGGGUCGUCCUCGCGUGUCAUUCAACCGUCGCACUACUUACAAAACCUGGUCCACCGUCC